rnacentral:rRNA from 1 species
CAAUAGCGUAUAUUAAAGUUGUUGCAGUUAAAAAGCUCGUAGUUGAAUUUUUGCUUGCCGCCGAUGUCGGAACUUCCGUACGCUCGGCGGCGUGCAUCCUUGGGUGGAACCUGUGUGGCAUUAGGUUGUCGUGCAGGGGAUGCUCAUCGUUUACUGUGAAAAAAUUAGAGUGUUCAAAGCAGGCUUACGCCGUUGAAUAUAUUAGCAUGGAAUAAUAAGAUAGGACCUUGGUACUAUUUUGUUGGUUUGCGCACCGAGGUAAUGAUUAACAGGGACAGUUGGGGGUAUUCGUAUUCCAUUGUCAGAGGUGAAAUUCUUGGAUUUCUGGAAGACGAACUACUGCGAAAGCAUUUACCAAGGAUGUUUNCAUUA